UAGGCUCGCAGGGCAGCCCGCGGCCGCCGGGAGGGAGCGGCCCCGCCGAGGGCGGCCAUCUUUACUAGUGGCAGCGAGGGCCGCUCCGGACGCCGCGGGUUUGUUCACGGCGCUCUCUGAGCGGCAGAAAAAAGGCUGCGCGGCAGAAGUUUUGUUGGGGGUUCCCCUUUUUUUUACUUGGCGGUGGGUUGUGUUGUUUGUGCGUAGAUCCCGGGGAUGUGGCGGGGAUAGAACUCGCGGGCUGGCGGCUGGGAGCUCAGGGAGCUGAGUGGCCGCCCUGGGACGAGGGGGGUCUCACAGGGGUUUUAGCUGCCGCUUCCGUCAGACCGCUCGGUUUGCUUUCUCUCACCGGGCGCGGGGAGGGCGAAUGGAUUCCCCUUAAAUUUUAGGAGCAAACGUGAGAUUUGCUUCCCGGGCGUCUUGCUGGCGCCGGAAAGCGGUUCUGGAACGCUCUCCCGCAUACGUCAUGGUUGCGCUCGCGGCGCGCGGUCCCACCCGCACGGAAUGCGGGGUUUUUUGUUUUGUUUUUAACUCUCAAUCAAACAGCCGUCUUGGAAGCUGUUUAUCGCUCCAGAAACAGUGGCCUGCAGGGGCAAACCUGAGCUUGCCUGACAGACAUGCUCCGAGAUGUUGGCUGAAAAAAAUGUUUUUGAUCAUAUCAGCUCAUUUGCCUUUUUAGGCAACUUCUGUUUGGGUGUGCAUCCGGUUUUCAGGCGUCUCUGACGUCCACCCCCCCAAAAAGAGAAAAACUCCUCUUAUCUUUGUAGCAAAAGUGGCCGUCGCUCAGGACUCGCCCUCUCUGCCGGGGACACGGCUGUAAAGAAUAAAAGAACAUGUUCCCUGCAUAGGUUAGAGAGAGGAACACGGAGAAGCCAUGGCUGCCUUGGUUGGGCGGGAGGCGACGUCCUGGUUGGUUUUAUUUGAGCUGCGUAGGUGCAAGUGCGGUGGAUUGUGGCUUACCCAAAGGUGAAUGCUGGCGCUGCCUCGGCGUGGGCGUUGCCAUGGCUACAGGGCUAGGUGGUUGGUAACAACCCAUCACUGGCACCCUAAAAGGAACACUCCAUUUUAUUGUGUGUCGGUACCCUGUCCGUGGACAUUGCAAAAGAAAGGAAACUGCAGUUUUGCAUAAUCUCCAUAUAGCAACAGCCGCUCGUGCUUCUGUGGAACACACGGUGUUCUUUGGCAGCCGCGGUGCUCGGAGCCGGCACUUUGCUUGCUGUGCGCAGUAGGCAGAGCAGAGGACCGAGCUUUCCCAGAGCCUGGGUUCCUUCGGUCGCACAGCCUGCUGGAGAAGGUUGCAUGAGAUGGCAUUUCUGAGCCACGCUAGCACUGAGCUACCUUCAAGCCUUUCCUGAAAGCAUAGGCACCCAAGGCUGCUCGAAGGUCAAGGACUUGGCUGCUGGCUGCAUCAUAAGACCUCUGAAUCUCCGGCCUUUUCCUCCCAUUCUUUGCCAGUGCUCACUACAUUUACAAGGGAGUCUGGAGGACAGGAAUCCCCACGCCCACAGCUGGGCAACAAGGUCAAGGGUGUCAAAAUCCAGGCCCAGAAAAGCAGCAAAACCAGGUGGGCAACACCAGGACCAGCUGCAAUGACUAAGGCGCUGACCAAUCCCUAGAGACCAUGACCCUGAAAGGGCACACCUGGAAAACUGAUGAGUAUUCUGCUGAAACCCUCCCUGAGACCGCCCCUAAGAUUCCCGCCUGCAAGAGACAGGCUGGACACACCCUGGCAGAACCAACCCAUGGGGAUGCUGCUCUUUGAUCUGCCCCUUCACACACUUCUUUCAGAGAUGAUGGCAAUUCAUCUUCACUCCUGAUGCUAUCACCUGGAGUUGGCACAGACUCAUGGGUUAAGGGCACGGUCCCUCAUAAGACUGCUCUCAGUUCAGAUGCCAGGCACAAGUUCAGAGAUCCCCAGGCUACCCACACUUCUGACCAACUGGCUACAAAUUUGGUCAGUUACCUAAGUGCCCGGGUUGAGCGUCCUUGAACACACCUUGCUGUUGUAGACCCUGCACAUGCUAUUCCCUCUGCCUACCUUUGUUUUCUCAACAAUCACUCGUGGAUUUUCUGAACCCCAAAUGCGACAAUUUUGUCGAUUAACCAAGCCAUCAAGAUGAAAAUAAGCCUCAUCGAAAU